UCCUGGUUGACCCAGGCAGUCUCGUUAUAGUUCCCGACAUGACUCGCUGGCAAAUAACGAUAAGGGUUGCGCUCGUUGCUGGACUUAACCAAACACCUCACGGCACGAGCUGACGACAGCCAUGCAGCACCUCUGUAUCUGUCCUUGCGGAAAACGCCUUUUCUGACGCGAUCAGACACAGUUCAAGCCCAGGUAAGGUUCUUCGCGUUGCAUCGAAUUAAACCACAUGCUCCACUGCUUGUGCGGGCCCCCGUCAAUUCUUUUGAGUUUCACCCUUGCGAGCGUACUCCCCAGGCGGCAUACUUAUCGUGUUAACUUCGAAACAAAAGGGGUUGAAUCCACUUACUUCUAGUAUGCAUCGUUUACGGUGUGGACUAC
rnacentral:misc_RNA from 1 species